UAUUGGGCGUAAGCGAGCGCAGGCGGUUUUUUAAGUCGAUGUGAAAGCCCUCGGCUUAACCGAGGAAGCGCAUCGGAAACUGGGAAACUUGAGUGCAGAAGAGGACAGUGGAACUCCAUGUGUAGCGGUGAAAUGCGUAGAUAUAUGGAAGAACACCAGUGGCGAAGGCGGCUGUCUGGUCUGUAACUGACGCUGAGGCUCGAAAGCAUGGGUAGCGAACAGGAUUAGAUACCCUGGUAGUCCAUGCCGUAAACGAUGAAUGCUAGGUGUUGGAGGGUUUCCGCCCUUCAGUGCCGCAGCUAACGCAUUAAGCAUUCCGCCUGGGGAGUACGACCGCAAGGUUGAAACUCAAAGGAAUUGACGGGGGCCCGCACAAGCGGUGGAGCAUGUGGUUUAAUUCGAAGCAACGCGAAGAACCUUACCAGGUCUUGACAUCUUUUGAUCACCUGAGAGAUCAGGUUUCCCCUUGGGGGCAAAAUGACAGGUGGUGCAUGGUGUCGUCAGCUCGU
rnacentral:rRNA from 1 species